rnacentral:rRNA from 1 species
GCUGUUAAGGGUUCGUAGUUGAAUUGGGGGCUGUUUUGAGCAAGCGUUUCGGCUUUCCCUUCCCGGGAUUCCACCGAUCGCUCUCGCAGCCCGAGAACAUUUGAAACAAACACCACGGGACGUUUCCCUCCACAAGAUCUCGCGUGUCAUGCACGCAGGGGGGCGUCCGUGUUUCUUCUGUGACAAAAGAAGGGUGACCAAAGCAGUCAUUCGACCUGAAUUAGAAAGCAUGGGAUACAAAGGAGCGGCCUACGGGCUUCCAUUACGGCUUUUGUUGGUUUUAAUGGUCUGUGGGGAUUGUGGAUGCGCGGGCCCGGCGACACCUGUCCGCAGGUUCGUCUUUCUGUUCCUCACGGUUCGACCCGUUUCGCGUCCAGGAAUGAAGGAGGGUUGUUCGGGGGAGAACGUACUUGGCGUGAGAGGUGAAAUUCUUAGACCGCUUAAAGACGAACUACAGCGAAGGCAUUCUCCAGGAUACCUUCAUCAAUCAAGAACUAAAGUG